UACAGAGGUGCCGAGCGUUAGGCGGAAUCACUGGGCUUAAAGCGUGUGUAGGCGGAUCGUUAAGUACCUUGUGAAAUCCCACGGCUCAACCGUGGAACGGCUGGGUAUACUGGCGAUCUUGAGCGAUCUAGGGGCAGAUGGAACAAGUGGUGGAGCGGUGAAAUGCGUAGAUAUCACUUGGAACGCCAAAGGUGAAGACAGUCUGCUGGGGAUCUGCUGACGCUGAGACACGAAAGCCAGGGGAGCGAACGG
rnacentral:rRNA from 1 species